rnacentral:rRNA from 1 species
UUGGAGGGCAAGUCUGGUGCCAGCAGCCGCGGUAAUUCCAGCUCCAAUAGCGUAUAUUAAAGUUGUUGCAGUUAAAAAGCUCGUAGUUGAAUUUCGGGGUCAGCAGGUUGGUCGUGCCAAUGGUAUGCACUGGCCUUGCUGAUUCCUCCCUCUUGAUGAGCCGUAAUGCCAUUAAUUUGGUGUUGCGGGGAAUCAGGACUGUUACUUUGAAAAAAUUAGAGUGUUUAAAGCAGGCAAGCGCUUGAAUACAUUAGCAUGGAAUAAUGAAAUAGGACGUCUGAUCCUAUUUUGUUGGUUUCUAGGAUUGACGUAAUGAUUAAUAGGGAUAGUUGGGGGCAUUAGUAUUCAAUUGUCAGAGGUGAAAUUCUUGGAUUUAUUGAAGACUAACUACUGCGAAAGCAUUUGCCAAGGAUGUUUUCAUUAAUCAAGAACGAAAGUUAGGGGAUCGAAGACGAUCAGAUACCGUCGUAGUCUUAACCAUAAACUAUGCCGACUAGGGAUCGGAUGAUGUUAAUUUUUUAAUGACUCAUUCGGCGCCUUACGGGAAAC